rnacentral:rRNA from 1 species
GACGAAGGUGGCAAGCGUUGUUCGGAUUCACUGGGCAUAAAGGGCGCGUAGGCGGUUCCGCAAGUGGCGUGUGAAAGCCCCCGGCUCAACCGGGGAAGUGCACGCCAGACUGCGGUUCUAGAGGGCGGUAGGGGGGACUGGAACUCUCGGUGGAGCGGUGAAAUGCGUAGAUAUCGGGAGGAACACCUGUGGCGAAAGCGGCGCACUGGACCACAACUGACGCUGAGGCGCGAAAGCUAGGGGAGCAAACAGG